rnacentral:rRNA from 1 species
GACGAACGCUGGCGGCGUGCCUAAUACAUGCAAGUAGAACGCUGAAGAGAGGAGCUUCCUCUUCUUGGAUGAGUUGCGCACGGGUGAGUAACGCGUAGGUAACCUGCCUUGUAGCGGGGGAUAACUAUUGGAAACGAUAGCUAAUACCGCAUAACAAUGGAUGACACAUGUCAUUUAUUUGAAAGGGGCAAUUGCUCCACUACAAGAUGGACCUGCGUUGAAUUAGCUAGUAGGUGAGGUAAUGGCUCACCUAGGCGACGAUACAUAGCCGACCUGAGAGGGUGAUCGGCCACACUGGGACUGAGACACGGCCCAGACUCCUACGGGAGGCAGCAGUAGGGAAUCUUCGGCAAUGGGGGCAACCCUGACCGAGCAACGCCGCGUGAGUGAAGAAGGGUUUCGGAUCGUAAAGCUCUGUUGUAAGUCAAGAACGGGUGUGAGAGUGGAAAGUUCACACUGUGACGGUAGCUUACCAGAAAGGGACGGCUAACUACGUG